rnacentral:rRNA from 1 species
UUAUAUUCUGUAGCAAGGUUAACCGAAUAGGGGAGCCGAAGGGAAACCGAGUCUUAACCGGGCGUUAAGUUGCAGGGUAUAGACCCGAAACCCGGUGAUCUAGCCAUGGGCAGGUUGAAGGUUGGGUAACACUAACUGGAGGACCGAACCGACUAAUGUUGAAAAAUUAGCGGAUGACUUGUGGCUGGGGGUGAAAGGCCAAUCAAACCGGGAGAUAGCUGGUUCUCCCCGAAAGCUAUUUAGGUAGCGCCUCGUGAAUUCAUCUCCGGGGGUAGAGCACUGUUUCGGCAAGGGGGUCAUCCCGACUUACCAACCCGAUGCAAACUGCGAAUACCGGAGAAUGUUAUCACGGGAGACACACGGCGGGUGCUAACGUCCGUCGUGAAGAGGGAAACAACCCAGACCGCCAGCUAAGGUCCCAAAGUCAUGGUUAAGUGGGAAACGAUGUGGGAAGGCCCAGACAGCCAGGAUGUUGGCUUAGAAGCAGCCAUCAUUUAAAGAAAGCGUAAUAGCUCACUGGUCGAGUCGGCCUGCGCGGAAGAUGUAACGGGGCUAAACCAUGCACCGAAGCUGCGGCAGCGACACUGUGUGUUGUUGGGUAGGGGAGCGUUCUGUAAGCCUGUGAAGGUGUACUGUAAGGUAUGCUGGAGGUAUCAGAAGUGCGAAUGCUGACAUAAGUAACGAUAAAGCGGGUGAAAAGCCCGCUCGCCGGAAGACCAAGGGUUCCUGUCCAACGUUAAUCGGGGCAGGGUGAGUCGACCCCUAAGGCGAGGCCGAAAGGCGUAGUCGAUGGGAAACAGGUUAAUAUUCCUGUACUUGGUGUUACUGCGAAGGGGGGACGGAGAAGGCUAUGUUGGCCGGGCGACGGUUGUCCCGGUUUAAGCGUGUAGGCUGGUUUUCCAGGCAAAUCCGGAAAAUCAAGGCUGAGGCGUGAUGACGAGGCACUACGGUGCUGAAGCAACAAAUGCCCUGCUUCCAGGAAAAGCCUCUAAGCAUCAGGUAACAUCAAAUCGUACCCCAAACCGACACAGGUGGUCAGGUAGAGAAUACCAAGGCGCUUGAGAGAACUCGGGUGAAGGAACUAGGCAAAAUGGUGCCGUAACUUCGGGAGAAGGCACGCUGAUAUGUAGGUGAAGUCCCUCGCGGAUGGAGCUGAAAUCAGUCGAAGAUACCAGCUGGCUGCAACUGUUUAUUAAAAACACAGCACUGUGCAAACACGAAAGUGGACGUAUACGGUGUGACGCCUGCCCGGUGCCGGAAGGUUAAUUGAUGGGGUCAGCGCAAGCGAAGCUCUUGAUCGAAGCCCCGGUAAACGGCGGCCGUAACUAUAACGGUCCUAAGGUAGCGAAAUUCCUUGUCGGGUAAGUUCCGACCUGCACGAAUGGCGUAAUGAUGGCCAGGCUGUCUCCACCCGAGACUCAGUGAAAUUGAACUCGCUGUGAAGAUGCAGUGUACCCGCGGCAAGACGGAAAGACCCCGUGAACCUUUACUAUAGCUUGACACUGAACAUUGAGCCUUGAUGUGUAGGAUAGGUGGGAGGCUUUGAAGUGUGGACGCCAGUCUGCAUGGAGCCGACCUUGAAAUACCACCCUUUAAUGUUUGAUGUUCUAACGUGGACCCGUGAUCCGGGUUGCGGACAGUGUCUGGUGGGUAGUUUGACUGGGGCGGUCUCCUCCUAAAGAGUAACGGAGGAGCACGAAGGUUGGCUAAUCCUGGUCGGACAUCAGGAGGUUAGUGCAAUGGCAUAAGCCAGCUUGACUGCGAGCGUGACGGCGCGAGCAGGUGCGAAAGCAGGUCAUAGUGAUCCGGUGGUUCUGAAUGGAAGGGCCAUCGCUCAACGGAUAAAAGGUACUCCGGGGAUAACAGGCUGAUACCGCCCAAGAGUUCAUAUCGACGGCGGUGUUUGGCACCUCGAUGUCGGCUCAUCACAUCCUGGGGCUGAAGUAGGUCCCAAGGGUAUGGCUGUUCGCCAUUUAAAGUGGUACGCGAGCUGGGUUUAGAACGUCGUGAGACAGUUCGGUCCCUAUCUGCCGUGGGCGCUGGAGAACUGAGGGGGGCUGCUCCUAGUACGAGAGGACCGGAGUGGACGCAUCACUGGUGUUCGGGUUGUCAUGCCAAUGGCACUGCCCGGUAGCUAAAUGCGGAAGAGAUAAGUGCUGAAAGCAUCUAAGCACGAAACUUGCCCCGAGAUGAGUUCUCCCUGACCCUUUAAGGGUCCUGAAGGAACGUUGAAGACGACGACGUUGAUAGGCCGGGUGUGUAAGCGCAGCGAUGCGUUGAGCUAACCGGUACUAAUGAACCGUGAGGCUUAACCUUACAACGCCGAAGGUGUUU